rnacentral:rRNA from 1 species
GUUUUNAAUGGCCGCAGUAUUUUAACUGNGCAAAGGUAGCAUAAUCAUUAGUCUUUUAAUUGAAGGCUGGUAUGAACGGUUGGACGAGGUAUAAGCUGUUUCAUAUAAAAUUAUAAUAGAAUUUUAUAUUUUAGUUAAAAAGCUAAAAUAUAAUUAAAAGACGAGAAGACCCUAUAAAUCUUUAUACUUUAGAUAAUUUAAAUUUUUUGGGUUUAUUUUAUUUUUAUUAUAUUGAGUAUUUUGUUGGGGUGAUAUUAAAAUUUAAUGAACUUUUAAUUGUGUUUAAAUCAUUAAUUUAUGAAUUGUUGAUCCAUUAAUAGUGAUUAUAAGAUUAAGUUACUUUAGGGAUAACAGCGUAAUUUUUUUGGAGAGUUCAUAUCGAUAAAAAAGUUUGCGACCUCGAUGUUGGAUUAAGAUAUA